UACGAAGGGGGCUAGCGUUGCUCGGAAUCACUGGGCGUAAAGCGCACGUAGGCGGCUUUCUAAGUCAGGGGUGAAAUCCUGGAGCUCAACUCCAGAACUGCCUUUGAUACUGGAAAGCUUGAGUUCGGGAGAGGUGAGUGGAACUGCGAGUGUAGAGGUGAAAUUCGUAGAUAUUCGCAAGAACACCAGUGGCGAAGGCGGCUCACUGGCCCGGUACUGACGCUGAGGUGCGAAAGCGUGGGGAGCAAACAGGG
rnacentral:rRNA from 1 species